GUUAAAGCAGACGAAGCCCCGCGCUGUUAAAGUGGGACUCUCGGUACCCAUCAGGGCCCUGCGCGUCUCUGUGAAGACGACAACCGACUUCGCCUCAUUCAGUGAACGCACACCCGGCGCGCUAAAGAGUCUUUAUUUGGGUUGCCACUCCAGACAAACUUCAAACCUGGGAGAGUGUGUAUUCUUGCACUCAGCCGCUUAUCCUCACGAGUGUCGCUGGGAGUGCCGGAGCCUAUCCCAGCUGUCAAGGGGCAGGAGGCAGGGUGCACCCUGAACUGGUUGCCAGCCAAUCGCAGGGCACAUGGAGACAAACAGUGACACUCACAAUCACACCUAGGGGCAAUUUCGAGUGUCCAAUUAAUGUUCCAUGUUUUUGGGAUGUGGGAGGAAACCAGAGUGCCCGGAGAAAACCCACGCAGGCACGGGGAGAACAUGCAAACUUCACACAGGUGGGGCCGGGAUCGAACCCUAGUCCUCAGAACUGUGAGGUCAACACUUGACCAGCUAAGUAACCGUGCCGUCCCAUUCACUAAUCUUUUUUUUUUUCCAAAACGAUGCUCCACAACUGUGUUUCCCAAGCUUUACUGUGCCAAGAAAUAUUUUACGUGAGAAAAUUCUCACAG